CGCCGCCUGACUUGAACAAACAGGCCCUGACUUCGGCACGGAGUCUUCCCUGGCUGUUACAAACUUCAUGGAUCUUUUAUGCACUGCUGCUUUGGCAGGACCCUAGACACCUGGGGUAUAUCCCUUCUUCAGGC